CAAAAUCACCGCCCAAGCCAUGGCUGAUCGUUGGCCUUGGGAAUCCCGGGAAGAAGUAUGAACGCACGCGCCAUAAUGUAGGUUUUGAGAUGGUGGAUGCUGUUGCUAAGAUUGAAGGGAUAUCCAUGAGUAGUGCUUCCUUCAAAGCUCUGAUCGGGAAAGGUGUGCAGAUUUUAACAAUUCUUGAUGAAAUUAAAAUAUCUUGUUAGAACUUAGAAGUACAUCUAGCUGCUACUUUUCUUGCCUUGAACGGACUUGCUAAUAGAUUACUGACUGCUUUCUUCCCUGUUUGAAGAUGUGUAAACUUUUCUUCCUUAUCCCUGUCAUGAGAUGGUUUGGCCAUGAACUACAACUCGGUAAAAUAACAAUGGGUGCUAUUGUUCCUACUAUAAAAUUCCAUUGAAGCAAGUCCUUGUGAUAUUCGAUGACUUAGAUUUGCCUUUUGCCAAAUUGCGGAUGCUGCCAAAGGGUGGCCAUGGAGGACAUAAUGGGAUGAGGAGUAUUAUUGAUCACUUGAAAGGCAGUCGUGAUUUCCCUCGGUUAAGAAUAGGCAUUGGGCGUCCUCCACAGCUUAUGGGGGAGUAAGACAAGACAAUCAGUGUAAUUUUUGAACCCCAUCAAUCAAAGAGACCGAUAAAAGUUGAGAAGGACAGGAAUUGAUAGAACGGAGCAAGCUGCCUCUACGGCUCUACCUAACUUUGAAUGCUUUAAUUAUCUCAUCUUGACAUCACCGAGGGAGGCUAUUCUUUGCCUGUCUUUGUCAUCUUCUUCUCCUUUAUGCAUUUUCUCUGUAGUUUAACCAUUCGCGUCCUCUAUUCUUCAUGUUUGUCUUGCCUGUGUUUUCAGGUUUCUGGUGAAUGCCUUCCCUAUGGAAUUGCCUCAUACGUGGAUGAUUUCAUGCAGGUGGAUCCCACAUACUUUUGAAUGUACGUCAUAUGCUUCAAAAACUAAUUAUUUCAUGGUAUUUUUGCUGAUUUUUUAUUUUUAUUUUUUAUUAUUUAAUUUUGAAAUUGAUUCC